GACGUAGGGCGCGAGCGUUGUCCGGAUUUAUUGGGCGUAAAGAGCUCGUAGGCGGCUUGUCGCGUCGACUGUGAAAUCCCGAGGCUCAACUUCGGGCUUGCAGUCGAUACGGGCAGGCUAGAGUUCGGUAGGGGAGACUGGAAUUCCUGGUGUAGCGGUGAAAUGCGCAGAUAUCAGGAGGAACACCCAUGGCGAAGGCAGCUCCCUGGCUCGACCCUGACGCUGAGGCGCGAAAGCGUGGGGAGCGAACGGG
rnacentral:rRNA from 1 species